GUUUUUUAGGCUUCUCCCUGCAACUCUUCUCCCUUAGGUUUCUGUAGGAACUAGACAACCUCUGCAUUGAGCUCUUUGGCUGUUGGAAUAAAAGCUGACAUCAUGCGCAGUUGUACUUCCAACCACACCAUUCAGAGGAGUCAGCGAAGUUGGAAAGACUACAGUGAAAGGCAGAAGCUACGUGAACUGUUCCAGUCAGCUUCAGUCUCCAAGAAGAAAAUUACUACAGAAUAUAACUACACAGCAGGAAAAAAGAAGUCAGUGCUUCACCAAAGGCUUGAUGCUCGUUCUGCCCAUGCAGUUCAGGAGAGGCUCCCAUUGUUGCGAAGCUUGUAGCUAUAGCAUGCAAGGAGUCACAUGGCAUGUGUCACAGCAGGACACCUUUCAUUGCAUGCCAUGGCAGUUUCUGUGGCAUCUGCCACUGUUCUCACUGUGCUGCUCUCCAAAGCUUCUUCUGCUGCAGUGCAAUCUUGCUAGGCACCAACACAAAGUCUGAGCAAAAGGAAGAGAAGUCGGAAGAAGCAGUUCAGCAACUGGAUGUCUCUAAUUCCUUUCUUUCUUAAACUGUGUGUACUCAGGUGGGAAAGGAUUUUAUUUUUCUUAGCUGAAAGAGAUUAUCAGCAGGCUUAAGAAUGUGAAAGAGUACCUUAAGCUGGAUGUGGAGCAGAUAAUAUUUUGGCUGUGAAAAUUCUAAGUAACUUUAACACAAAGUAAAUAUAUAGUGGUGUUUGACGUGGGCCAAUACGUGAUGUGUGAAAUGGCUGUUGUUCUUUGUUUUUAUAAAGUCCCUGUUAUUAUUGUGCUAAUGAUAGACUCAAAUGAAAAAAAGAUGGUUUGUUAUACCAUAUUUUAAACAAACAUGGAGCAGAAGGUAGUUUCUUUCUGAGGAGCUUUUAUCUAACCACACAGGUUGAAGAGGAAUAGGAAGGGGUAUAAACAGAAAGGAUAUGUGAUAAAUAUCAUGCUGGCAUUGAAAUUUGAAUAAGUGGCUGGCUGAGGCAUUGCUGAAGAAAAGGCAAAUGGGGAAAAAUCAUAGAAUAUAAUCACAGAGUCAUUUAGGUUGGAAAAGACCUUGAAGAGCAUCGAGUCCAACUGUUAGAAGAGCAGAGGCUACAAGGAGACAAUAGUUGACAGGGAUGAAAAAGGAAGGAAAGUACCUCUGCUAUGGUGAGGGAAAGGCACUGAGGAAGGUGUGUUGGAGCAUGCUAGCUUUUACAACAGGGGAGAAAAUGCUCAGAGUGAAAAUUGAUGUAACCUCUUGACAUUGGUAAGAAUGAUAUUGCAGACCUGCACAGUCCUUGUUGCUUAGGCCAACAUUUGCUGCCAUGGACAGGACUGAGACAUCUUGUUUGGACUUCCUCUGGAGGUGAUAAUUUACUGUCAUGAUGUCUCACACUAAGUGGGCAACAUAAUCCUCAGUUGCACAUCCAGUUCUCAUAACCACUUCACAUUUCAGACAGGAGAACACAGGAUGGUGUCUACAGCUAUAGCUACAGUAAGGGACUGUUCCAUUUAUGCUAAUGACAGAUUCAUGCCUUAACUGUUUCCAGUUUGAAUAACUAUAAAUAUUUCUGUCGCUAUUUGAUGGUCAUCUCAGCAUAAUAUUAGCACUUAGGCCCUUCGUCGGUGCUGAAUGAGGAAAGUUUAGCUUUGUAUUUGCCUGUUGCGUGGCUUCUACUCCAAAAAGUCUUGAGCUUCUGCAAACUCCUUAUUCUUAGGCUCUGCUCAGUGUGUUAGAUUUUGGUCACAGAAAGUAAAAAAGAGACAGUGCUUUUGGGGGAAGGGAGAACUGUAUAAUUUACAAGCUGCAAAAUGACUACAUUAAAAUUUAGGGGAAAAGGAGUGUACUUAUGUACAUAAAAUUCGAGUGCUAGCCAAUAAAGCUAUGUACUUGCCCAUGUGAACUGAACUUCACCAAGAAAUGGUUGGACAUGAAAAAUAGACCGUUUAUGCAACAAAUACUUUUCUGUUUCACAGCAGUUCCAAGAAUGAAUUAGAGGUAGCAAAUUGUUGUCAAUUUUCUUACAGGUAUUCUGUAAACAAUCAAAAGGUUGUAAAGUUAAUAAAAGCAGAGCCAUCUGGAAAUUGUCUCUGAAUUUCCCAGACCUGGCUUCGGUAUAUCACAACAGUAUUUCUGCAGAAAUCCUCCUCAGCCAGUCAGACAGUAUUCUGAAAACAACCUUGUACCGAGAUAAUAUCACUGAGGAUCAGACUAGACUGGGGUGAAGAACAAAUACACAUUUUGCAUUUAUAUACAUAGUGGGAGCAUUAACGAUUCAGCUCCUUAUAGCAAUGUUCAUAACUACAGGUAAAUACUUGCUCUAAAUUCAUCUUCAACCUAUCAUAUUUAAGUAAAAUUCCCUUAGGUUUUCAUAAACCAUCAUGUCACUUUUGCUCCAGUAGUCUGCUAGAGUAAAUUCCACAACAGAAAGUAAAGACAAUUGCACUGUCUCUAGCUUUUGCUAAAGAUACAUGGUUAAACCCUUUCUGAAAUACAAGGACUACUGCUGUAACGAACCCAAACUUCUCCUCUUCCUCCCCAUGCCUGUCUGUUGGAUCAUCAGGAUUACUGUGGAUGGCAGCUGCUACCUCACUUCCUUCUUAAACCUUCUUUCUUAUAACUUUCCCCCACACCCUUUCACUAAGGAUCAUUAUUGUGGAUUAAUUCCUUCUUUCCUCAUAUCUGUAUAUUUCACUGCUACUUUUUCCAAAACAUAUUGAAAGACUUCCCCAUCCUUUCAAUUCACUUGGAUGAUAGCCUCAUCAGUCCUGGUCCAGGCUGCUGAACCUUCUUUUUUUCCAGCUCCUCUUGUGUUGCUUCCGUCUGGUUUUUCCACAGCUCUGCUACUUAGCGUAGCUUUCUUGGUGGAACAUGUCACUUGUUUGUUAAAUUUUUGUUUCCAAUAUAAACGCUUGCUCUUAAACUUCUGGUCUUUAUCACCACCUCAGCUUAAAUCUCAGCACUGAAUCUGUGUCCUAUAUGGAUGCUUCUGUCACCCACUCAUUAUCCUUUAUGUUGUCCUUGACCAUAAAAGUAUUCCCCCAAAUUCCCUAUUAUAUCUGGGUCUGUGUCCUAACCUUAUUCAAAACAUUUUGAAAGAUAGUUUUUCAUAUGAAGGCCACAAUGUUAACUUGUCCUCCCCAACUAAUGAAAAAGAUGCUCAGGUUACUUAAUAAGCAUAGCUGAGUCGUCUUUGAUAGGAGGCAGCUAUGCUCAAAUAUACCAGCAGAGAAACUGGCCAAAAUACAAGGUAAUUUCUUCAUUCAGGGUUUCUUACUGUGCUUUGAUUUAUCUGUGUCUUAUCUUGUGGAGUUUCAGCUGUAAAGGGCAAGAAUUGGCUUUAUCGCUGUACUGAAUACCACUGCUAUGGUCUCAGUUCUUUCAAGCCAGUAAAUAAUGAGAUGCUCAUGAAAUUCUUAGCGGGUGUUGUGUUUUAGCACCUUAUCUGAUUUCAGUGGGAGGUUUACCUGACUAAGACCUUCUGAGAUGCCUCCACAAAGCAGAAUAAUUUCUUGUUCCCCUACCAGGUAACAAAUGCCAGCUUAAUACAUCAACCUAUCAUCACAUAGUUAUGUAUUAUCCAUAGCCAAAAGCCCCUAAUAAUAAAUUCUAAUCUCCUUAGGAUGAUGAAGUAGAAAACUAAUGUGAACUUAUUGCAAAUAAAAAAAAAUUAUUUCCCUAAAAAGCAAGGCUUCUUUAUACCUCAAUAACACAACACUCUUUCCAGCUGUUAGCAUAGAAACUCAGUACCACUCGGUAUCACAUACUUUAUUCUGUUCUAACAAACCUGUUAGUAAAAUAAGCCCUAUAGCUGUUGGAGUGAGGACCGCAGAGUGGGAAAACAUUAUGCCUGGUUCUGCAGUGAAGCUCGUGAAGCUGCAUUGUUAUGACCACGGGCAGAACUGAAGCUGUUUUGUGAAGGAGCACUUGAGCGUGCAGUUUGAAGUGCAACCCUUGUUUUUGCUAACAGGUGAGAGUUUAAUUCAGUUGAAUAGACAAAAAUAGAGGCACUGCAGCCAGACCUGGCUCUUUGUUCCUGGUUCUGCAGUAACAAUUGCCAGAUAUGCAGAAGAGGAAGGUUUAACACAUCCUGUUGGGAAAUGUGGGAAUCAGCUGCUUGAAAGAGAGGCAAGUCCCUUCCAUGUACAGUGAAUGGCUGGGUGAUAUUCUAAAGGGGGUUUGAAUCAUCUGAUAUAAUGUCAGGGAUGUAGCGUCACUGGGUAACACCCCACAGGCCAUACUGUGAAGGACACCAGAUGUGAUGUUCACAAUGGCUCCCAGACUUUCCUUGUCCUAAUUAUUUUUACCUUUUCUCGGAGCACCCAGUCUGGUUUAUUGUCACAACGCAGUGGCACCUUGUGACAUGGACACCCAAAACUCCACUACAAAUGUUCCAUCAUGACUUAUCAUGAUGCAAUGCAAUAAGAGUUAGGUGGUGUCUUGAUAGUAGAGAAUACUGCCCAUGUCUAAUGGAAAAGAGUUUGGCUGAGGGCUAGCUGAAAAAUAAGUAGGGCUAGCUAAAAAACAAAGGUCUAUUUGCCAAAUGUGAAUGGAAUUAAUUCUCUUGUGAUCCACACUGCAGAGUAUGGUGCACAUCUGAUACUUCCUUUAAUAGGAAGGGAAAGCACAUGCCACCAUCUCUUUCUUUCCCAGAUAUCUUCAUCCCCCAUACUAAUUUAAAUAUUUUCUUUUAUCCUGAGUAAGUGUUGAGCCUUGCUAACACGAAACUUCCGUUCCAUUAGAUUUUGUGAUAAUUGGCUUGCUGAUAAUUUGAAGGUUGAUUAGUUUUUUGUUACCUGUGAUUACAAACAGGCACUCUUAAAUGUUGCUUUAGUGCCAAUUUGCUGCUCUAGUCAAGAAUAAUUCAGAUAUUUUCUCUUGUAAUUCAAAGUAACUGCUGAUGGACAGGUAAUCUAGCUGAUGGAUGGACCUAAUACGUGUUCUCUCCUGGUAGGUGGUACCAAAAAAAAAGUUCACGCACCACUCACAGUGGCAGGGCUUUUUAGUUCAGUUAAUUACCAUUUGUUGUUAAUACAUUACAUGCAACCAGCACAUGUAGUCUCCAUUGACCUGUAAGAGGAGUAAUUGCUAUUUUGUAUAGCAUACUGCCCCC